UACGUAGGGGGCAAGCGUUGUCCGGAAUCAUUGGGCGUAAAGGGCGCGUAGGCGGUUCGUACAGUCAGACGUGAAAUUCCUGGGCUCAACCUGGGGGCUGCGUUUGAUACGUGCGGACUUGAGUGCGGAAGAGGGUCGUGGAAUUCCCAGUGUAGAGGUGAAAUUCGUAGAUAUUGGGAAGAACACCGGUGGCGAAGGCGGCGACCUGGUCCGAUACUGACGCUGAGGCGCGAAAGCGUGGGGAGCAAACAGG
rnacentral:rRNA from 1 species